rnacentral:rRNA from 1 species
AAACUUUCAACAAUGGAUCUCUUGGUUCCUGCAUCAAUGAAGAACGCAACGAAAUGCGAUAACUAAUGUGAAUUGCAUAAUUCAGUGAAUCAUCGAGUCUUUGAACGCACAUUGCGCCCCCUGGUAUUCCGGGGGGCAUGCCUGUCCGAGCGUCAUU